AUUGGAUUCAAAACAAAUUUGAAUUAAAAUAGUGAUUUCGCUGUCAAACUUUAAAUGUCAUAUUUGUCUAAAAUAACUUUGUUGUGAUUUCUGCAUUCAAAUUAAUAUUAAUUAAAACUAAAAGUAUUUACCAUCAAGAUUAAAAUGAAAAUCGUAAAUGUUAUAAGGCAGAGAAAGAAAAAAAUCUGAGUUUCCGGUAACCCGACC
rnacentral:lncRNA from 1 species